ensembl:lncRNA
AUCUCUCUGAAGAUUCCUGUGUACUUGAAGUGUUCCUAGAGGCUUUAGAGAUGAGAAUGUUGCCUUCUAUUCUGGCAAUGUAUAAUGUAUCUAUCCUGGGUAUUAGCUGUGCAGAAAAAAGUAUCAAACUCUAACAACGCCGAAGUCCUGGGGUUGCUCAGAAGUGCAGGCAAAAAUUGAGUACUAGAAGCACAGCAAAAGAGGACAAAUAGCAGAAGGAUAUGGACACUCUUUAAAGAGUGUGAAGGUGGCUUCUUUGUCUCAUGCUUUUAAUGCACAACAGGAAAAAUAACUAAUUGCCUAAUCCAUUACAAUAUUUUAAGAUUUCACUAACAAAUGUCAGUAAGAUCUGUGUCAUUUUUUGCUUUCAAAUAUGUAUAUACAAUAUACAAAAUCCUAAACUAGAAUUUUGUUUCAUUAGCAGAUAGAUAAAUGAGACUGUCAGUCUUUGAAAUCAAGAGUGGAUCUAUCACUUAGCUGCUGAAUCCUUCUCACAGCUACUGAAGCAACAUACAAAAGCUCAGUCUUCCCUAUUAUUACCACUAGUGCUAUUUUAAUCUGAGCACUGCUAGUAUAAGUUUGCCAGCAGUGCAUAGGUUAUAACAUACAAAUUAUUAAAUUUAUUUUUAUUGGAAAGAAAAUUGGAAUAUAGUAACACAAAAUAUAUAUACAUAAUAAAUCCUGCUAUUACUAUGCAUGGUAAUAUUGGGCUGAGAGAAUGAUGUGAAGCUGACUGCAUAGGAGACCUUAAACUACUUCAGUAACUGUUUUAAAAUCACUUCACUACUGCUCCAAAAAAUAAGUUUCAGAAAGGGGCAGAAUUGGUGGGAAUCUCAGGGCACAGGUCACUUUACUUUUCAGGAUAGCAGCAGACGCUAGGUUUACAAUUGUAUUUCAGAAAAUAGAAAUCAGUUUGCUGUAAUUUUGUAUC